rnacentral:misc_RNA from 1 species
CAGGACUCGCAAGACUCCUUAACCCCUGUGAACUUACUGUUUAUACGUUGCUUCGGCGGUGCUCCGGGUCCGCCCCGGAGCGCUGCGCCCGCCGGCAGCCUACCCAAUUCUGUUUCUCUGCGUUGGCAUCUCGAGAAAAGCAAAAUAAGUUA